CCAACUUUGUCCUGUGUCUGAACUUCAGCGAUGUAACUGCAAAAAGAAUCUGUGAACGUAUUGAAAUGUUUGCGAGAAACUUCAUGGAAAAAAACAAGCUGAAUGAUGUAUAUGAUGUGUUCAAAUAUCUUUACAACAAGUACAGUGAUGACCCAUAUCUCAGCAACAUAAAAAAUCAGUCAUUCACCAUGAUCACAUGGGGAUUUGGUGAAAUUGAAGUGGUUAAAACCAAAUGUAGAAGGAUUGAGAUUGACUUCUACAAAUGUAAUUUCGAGAGGGAAUCCUAUUACGUAAGACGGACUCCUGGAGAAAAAAUGUACUAUAUAACAUUGCCUGGAAGUGUCAGAUGCAGGAAGCUCCUAUCUAAACUGGUCAACUGUCCCUUCGAAGAACAAACAGAACAGCUGAAGAGAGAAAUAUGCUACUUUGAACUGUAUCCUGAUUAUAUUGAGCAAAAUAUACAUCAUGUAAGAUUCAAUUGUUAUACCAAAUGAGACUCUAAGACUGACUGGGCUGUUACCCACCACUUGCAGACAUUAAUCCUAGUUCUGGAAAUCUAAUAUGGAAUCACACUUCAGUAUGGAUGCCAGGAGUCACAGAGACAUGUAGUCCAGUUAUGUACACGUGAACAAUUGUCUUGCUUUUACAUUUCACACACUUCUUUGAAAUGAACCAUUGUAAGCCUGCCAUGACAAACCUAUGCUUUGCUCAAUAAAAGUACUGCCAUUCAUCUUG
rnacentral:lncRNA from 1 species